rnacentral:rRNA from 1 species
AUGACACAUCCCCUAGCUAUAGAUGGCGGCUGUGGCGUAGAUCCCUUGGCCGGGUUCCAGAGUCGUUGCCCACCCGAUGGCCAGCGCGUGACAUUCGAGGACUGCUCCACCAUGUGUUGGCUGCUCAAUAGGCUCCACGUCACAUUCCAGGAGCGCGACAUGUCCACCCAUGCUCCCUACUGGGACAAGCUCCGCGUGCUGCUGCCGGGACAAACGGCUCCAUGUCACUGUCACAGCGGCUGUUCGCGGAUGGUAGUUGUUAGCCAAAGCAUGUUGAUCAGGUGGGGCCUUAGCAUUAUCAAGAAGUAG